AGCGGGGCUCGGAUGGGAGCGGCCCGCGCCAGAUCCGAGGGCGAUUGCCUCUCCAGCCUGCGGAGGGUACGGCCGCGAGUGCCUCCAAAUCACUAGGGGACUCUGAACGUGUUGCUCCCGUCAACUCGCUCAACAUGAUUCAUUUAUUCACUUAGAUAAACCACCACCGCCACACCAACCUGCCACUUGAUGCGCACUUAAAAGGACAGGGGAGCGCGGGCCAGGCAGACCCUCCGCCGGACACGACUCGGGGAGAAACGUGUUUUAAAAUCCAAGCUCUUGAGCUUCUAACCAGGGAGCGCGCGCGAGUGUGUGAAGAGGCUGAGAACCUCGGUUUUCAGAGACUCUAGAAUAAACUUCUCGCCCCCCUCUCCUCCCGAGGACAGUCGGGACUGUGGGUGAUCGAGUCUCAUUGGGUCGGGUCGGCCUUCUAAGUUGGCGGGGCCCUGCGGGACCGGUCUGCUUGACCCGACCGCGCUCGCAUUGGAGAGCCGAGGCUCGAUCGGUCUGCCGGGCUGCAUAACCCCCGCCCCGCAGCAGCGGCGUCCCUCGCGCGCCGCCGCGUUUCCCGCGCUCUCGGCCCGUACUUCCCGGCGCGGCCUACAAGGCCCCGCGCGGCCCCGCCUCCGGGUCCCGCUCGGUCUCCGGCUGCGAGAGGGAAGGCGGAGGUUAUCCGCCGAGGGACAAGCGGCGCGGACCGAGGUUCCUGAGCAGAAGGGAAAAUGAGCUUAAACAUGAGGCUUGGAGGAGAAAGAAGGGCUGGGGAGAAAUAUGAAUGUCUAUUAGAAUCAUCCAGAGCAUGGAUUGGACUGAUGCUAAAGCUCCAGUACUUUGGCCACCUGAUGAGAAGAGCUGACUCCCUGGAAGAGACCCUGAUGCUUUGAAAGAUUGAGGGCAAGAGGAAAAGGGGGUGACAGAGGAUGAGAUAGUUGGAUGGCAUCACAGACUCAAUGGACAUGAGUUUAAGCAAACUCCGGGAGAUAGUCAAGGACAGGGGAGCCUGAUGUGCUGCAGCCCAUGGGGUCACAAAGAGUUGGACAUGACUGAGUGACUGAACAACAACAACAACAACGCACACAGAUUGGGAAAGUCCCAAAUUUCAAUCAUCUCUAUGGAAUGGCCUUGAAACAGCAAUGCUCAUGACUACUUAUGAAAUAUCUUCUGUGACAGACAGAUAAUAGACACUCCACCCAUCCUGUCUUAUAAAAAGUAUAUUAUAAAAUGACAAACAUAUAGAAAACAAGAAUAUUAUAAAACCAUGGGUACACAUUAGUCAUUUUCCAUUUGAUAAGGUCUUUUAAAAUGUAAUAAAAUAUUAUUGAAAUAAUUGAAUUCUCCUGUG
rnacentral:lncRNA from 1 species